rnacentral:rRNA from 1 species
AACGUAGGACACAAGCGUUAUCCGGAGUUACUGGGCGUAAAGGGCGUGUAGGCGGAGAUGUAAGUCUAUUCUGAAAGCUCCUGGCUAAACUGGGAGAGGCGAAUGGAGACUGCAUAUCUAGAGUGAGGAAGAGGAAAAGUGGAAUUCCGCGUGUAGUGGCGAAAUGCGUAGAGAUGCGGAGGAACACCAGUGGCGAAAGCGACUUUCUGGUCCUUAACUGACGCUGAGGCGCGAAAGCAUGGGGAGCGAACGGG